GGGGGUGGGGUCAACCAAGAUCCAUCCCAACACGUUUGGGAAUGUCUCUCUAACUUUUCUUCUGCACUAUUGCCUGUGGACUAUACAAUGGAGGCUCCCAGUAACUUGUGCAGAAGAUCAAGCACAGGGCCUCAUGCAUUCUAGUUUAUUUAGGUCCUACUUCUAGAGGUUCAGACAUAUUGCAGCAGCUUCCACGUGGCUUGGGAGAGGGGAUUCAUGUGGAAGAGAUGAGCUCCGCAGACUCUUCUGUGAAUAGAAGACAUCCACCAGUUCGCAGCAAGUCACUCAACCUUUGUAAAAUGUCGCUACCACAGCCACUCACCUUCCCCUGCUUUGGAAAAGGAGAACCUGGCCAUGACUUAAACCCUGUUAGAGAAUUCUCCAUCCCUGUGGACCUUCUAAGUACUGCCUUAAACAUUCUUGACUUAUUUUUUUUCAGAAUUCAUACUUGAAAAAAAAUAAAUAAAAAACUAAAA